rnacentral:rRNA from 1 species
GUAGGGUGCGAGCGCUGUCCGGAAUUAUUGGGCGUAAAGGGCUCGUAGGCGGUUUGUUGCGUCGGAAGUGAAAACUCAGGGCUUAACCCUGAGCCUGCUUCCGAUACGGGCAGACUAGAGGUAUGCAGGGGAGAACGGAAUUCCUGGUGUAGCGGUGAAAUGCGCAGAUAUCAGGAGGAACACCGGUGGCGAAGGCGGUUCUCUGGGCAUUACCUGACGCUGAGGAGCGAAAGUGUGGGGAGCGAACAGGAUUAGAUACCCUGGUAGUCCACACCGUAAACGUUGGGCGCUAGGUGUGGGACUCAUUCCACGAGUUCCGUGCCGCAGCUAACGCAUUAAGCGCCCCGCCUGGGGAGUACGGCCGCAAGGCUA